rnacentral:rRNA from 1 species
GACGAACGCUGGCGGCGUGCUUAACACAUGCAAGUCGAACGGAAAGGCCCUGCUUGCAGGGUACUCGAGUGGCGAACGGGUGAGUAACACGUGGGUGAUCUGCCCUGCACUUCGGGAUAAGCCUGGGAAACUGGGUCUAAUACCGGCUAGGAGCCAUUUUUAGUGUGAUGGUUGGAAAGUUUUUUCGGUGUAGGAUGAGCUCGCGGCCUAUCAGCUUGUUGGUGGGGUAAUGGCCUACCAAGGCGGCGACGGGUAGCCGGCCUGAGAGGGUGGACGGCCACAUUGGGACUGGGAUACGUCCCAGACGCCCACGGGAGGCAGCAGUGGGGAAUAUUGCACAAUUGGCGCAAGCCUGACGCAGCGACGCCGCGGGGGGGAGGACGGCCUUCGGGUUGUAAACUCCUUGCGCUAGGGACGAAGCUUUUUGUGACGGUACCUAGAGAAGAAGCACCGGCUAACGACGUG